rnacentral:lncRNA from 1 species
AUGAAGUCAGCACCACUGAAAUUCAAGGAUAGAGAUGAAAAAGCCACUGUGCACUUCAGAACCACAGUGCCAAUAGAUGAGUCUCCAGUGUCAGUAGAUGAGGGUCCAGUGUCAGCAGAUGAGGGUCCCGUGUCAGUAGAUGAGCCUCCAGUGUCAGCAGAUGAGGGUCCAGUGUCAGUAGAUGAGGGUCCAGUGUCAGCAGAUGAGGGUCCAGUGUCAGUAGAUGAGGGUCCAGUGUCAGCAGAUGAGGGUCCAGUGUCAGUAGAUGAGGGUCCAGUGUCAGCAGAUGAGGGUCCAGUGUCAGUAGAUGAGCCUCCAGUGUCAGCAGAUGAGGGUCCAGUGCCAGUGUCAGCACCCAGCACCAGGAAUGGGACCUUUGAAGAGGUGGAAGAAUUCUACAAGGAAUUCCAGCAGGUUAUUGGACAGCCAGUAACAAGAAAUACCAAGACCAGUAGAGAGCCUAUGAGGAUGCCACUGUUUCAGUAUUGGUACUUGAAUCAGAUGCAAAGGAAGGGAAUAGAACGCAUUCAAGAGAAACAUGGAGUGACGAUCAAAGCUGAUGUGUGUGUUACAGUUGAGGAGACCAGUGGAGCCACCAGCGAGUCAUGCACAGAUGCUACUAACGAAUUCAUCGACCUUUUCAGAAAAUGUGCCAGUGAUAUUGUGAAUGUUCCUAUGCCCAGUGCGGCGUUGGAGUUAGUUCUGCGUUUGGAUGACAAACUUAUGCUUACUGCGUCUGCCCAAAACUGCAUCCUGCUAGGACCACCUGAUAGUGUAGCUGCAGCGCAGAGACUGUUGAAUCAGCCGACUAACAAGGAUGAUCCAAGAUCAGAGAGACCUGAGGUACAUUGGGACAAGGACCGAAACAAGAAUCCCCAUGGAGAACAUAGAUGGAAUAGACUCAAAGGCCCUGUAAGACCACCUGUUAAGCAGCCUGGACCAGUUCCACAAAUGCAAUAAAAAUCACGUCGUCGAAGGCAACGCAUAUAUUCACAAAAGUCAAAAUUCUAUACGUGUUUUGCUACUGAUGUUACCUUUCCUUGUAUUUUGUUAUACCGUACGUAUAUUCUGUCCUGUUUGUUAUGAUAAUGUAUCGUUUAUAAAUGUUGUGUGUCAAUAAAGACUGAGUUGGAUUGUGUCCUCA